CUGCUGCCUCCCGUAGGAGUUUGGGCCGUGUCUCAGUCCCAAUGUGGCCGGUCACCCUCUCAGGUCGGCUACUGAUCGUCGGCUUGGUGGGCCGUUACCUCACCAACUACCUAAUCAGACGCGGGUCCCUCCUAUACCACUAUCGUUUUUCACUCAGCGCCAUGCGGCUCCGUGCGCUUAUGCGGUAUUAGCAAUCAUUUCUAACUGUUAUCCCCCUGUAUAGGGCAGGUUACCCACGCGUUACUCACCCGUCCGCCGCU
rnacentral:rRNA from 1 species